AUGCCGAAGGCGCACGAGGAGGAGGUGCCGGCGGCGGGGGCGGACAGCGAGGAGCUCGAGCCGCUCUUCGACUACUCCCGCGUGCAGCCCACCAUCGACUUCUGCUUCGACGAUUCCGACCUCGAGAAGUCGGACAUCUUCGUCCACUGCAACAAGCGCCCCAAGGUGCCCGCCGACAACGCGAACGCUGUCGAGGGGGGUAAGGCUAAUGAGAAGGGCGACGCCGGCAUAAAGAAGGCCACGGUGGUGAAUUUGGAUGAUGAGGAUUGGCUGGCUCCGCCGCCGCUGAAGCCUCUGCUUAGCACUGAAGUAUGCAAGGAUAAAACGAUGCACGAGCUGAGGUUAAAGAAACAAGAGGUAGAAAAACUGUCUGAUGAUGCAUUUGAAAAGGUUGUUGAAACUGUUAAGAAAGACAUGGCAGCCAAGAAGCCGCCUGAACCUAUAUUUCUUGAUGAGCCAACCGAAUCAGAGAAAUCCAAAGAAAAGAUCUGCAUAGUGGUUCAGGAAAAGGAUGGAAGGCAGCAGUUCCGUGUAUGCAAGGAUGAGAAGUUCGACAAGCUUUUCAAGGCGUAUGCUAAGAAGGUCCAGGUCAGCCCAUCCGAUCUGACUUUCGUAUUUGAUGGCGACAAAAUAAACCCAGCAAGUACACCCCAGGACCUUGACCUGGAGGAUGAAGACAUGAUUGAGGUGCACCAUAAGCCAACUCUAGACAAGCCAGCUGAAGCAUACGUGAAGAAAUCGCGAGAAAAGAUACUUAUAAUGAUUCAGGACAAAGAUGUGAAGCUGCAGUUCCGUGUAUACAAGGAUGAGAAAUUUGACAAGCUUUUCAAGGUGUAUGCUAAGAAGGUUCAACUCAAGCCAUCUGAUCUGAUUUUCAUAUUCGAUGGUGACAAAAUAAACUCGGCUAGUACGCCCCAGGACCUUGACUUGGAGAAUGAUGACAUGAUUGAGGUGCGCCAUAAAUCCCACUGA
rnacentral:rRNA from 1 species